AGCAGCUGCCAACAAAUCACUCUCCCAUCAACCUUGCUACAGCUCUGGUUCUUUCAGACUGAUGAGACCGUGCUUGGACUCCUGAGAAAUCAGGGCAUUGUAGAUUUCCUUCCUUGUAGUUCAGAAGAAUCUCAAAUGUUUUUGCUUAGCUGGGUACAUGUGCUGAUCUGCUUUUUCAGCCUGCUUGCUAGACUGCUGACCAUGUUUGUAAAUCUGUUAAAUGUAAAAUUAUGAACAAGCUACUGCAAUUUAAUUGCAAAACUUCCAAACUCCCAAAAUAAAUGUCAUAUAAUGCCUUGGUUUACUUUCUAGCAGAUAAAAAUAACAUCUGCACCACUGGUAACCUUUCAUAAAGACAAGUUUUCUGCAAGUGUUCUUUAGCACCAGCAAUUCAAUGGCUGGCACACGUUUAUGAAAGUAAAGCUUGUUUUGGACUUACACUCUAGAAGCUGUGUUUUCAUUGAUAAAUACACUUGCCAUGGGUCCUGCAGGCUUUUUCCUGCAAGGGAACAGAAAUUUCUAACUUCAAAACAGGAAAUGAGAGGUUACAUUUAAGAUGUGUUGUGGUUGAUUUCAGUGAGGGUUUUUUUUUCACUAGUGUGAUAAAAGCAGAUGCCAAGAGGGCACUCUGGGAAGAACUGCACCUGAAAGCCUGGGGGAGAGCAGGCAGUAGGCAGAUCAAUUGUGUUUCUUGUUUCUUGCAGUUCCUGCACUGCUCCUCAUCUCUGGUCUACAAACCUUGCCAAUGGGAGUGGGAAAACAGAUCAGCCAGGAAUUGGCUCUAUUUAAGAAGUCAUUAUCUGUGUCCAUGGAACGAUGUUGGCAACACCGCCAGUUAUCUGCCAUCCACACCACAUCGGUGCUUCGGGCUCAGCUGCAACGUGAAACUCUGGGUGCACAGAGACAUGUGAGGAGUUUUGUCAGAAGUAGCAAAGCCUUCAGAGCUGGUGGAAGAGGUCUAUGCUGGAACAGAUUGUCACCCUGAAGCCCCAACAUCUGCUCUGCGCAGAGGAACAGUUGUGGUACUUGCUUGGUGCCAGAGCCUCUUAAAGGCACAUUUCCCUGUGAAGCAGCAGAGCCUGAGUGUGGUAGCAGAAGGGUUUGGGUCAGGUUUUGGAGACAGGUUGACUUCCAGGGAUUUAACAGGGGUUUGCCUCUCAGCUUUUUCUGUGCUGUCUAAAAAAUGAAGUACACAAAUAAAAAGGUUGAAUUUUCUUUU